rnacentral:rRNA from 1 species
UACAGAGGGUGCGAGCGUUGUCCGGAAUCACUGGGCGUAAAGGGCGCGUAGGUGGCGACCCAAGUCGAUGGUGAAAGCUCGCCGCUCAACGGCGAGUCGGCCACUGAUACUGGGUUGCUGGAGCACUGUAGAGGCAGAUGGAAUUCCGGGUGUAGCGGUGGAAUGCGUAGAGAUCCGGAAGAACACCGGUGGCGAAGGCGCUCUGCUAGGCCGCAACUGACACUGAGGGACGAAAGCUAGGGGAGCGAAUGGG